CUGUAUUCUACAGUGCAUGUGUCUCCAGUGUUUUCCAGCGACUGGAGAUACGGCCCUGUUGGAAUAAC
rnacentral:pre_miRNA from 11 species